rnacentral:rRNA from 1 species
AUAGAGACUCAGAGCUGCAUAUCAAUAAGCGGAGGAAAAGAAACUAACAAGGAUUCCCUUAGUAACGGCGAGUGAAGCGGGAAGAGCUCAAAUUUGAAAUCUUCAAGGUUCUACCUUGACGAAUUGUAGUUUAUAGAAGUGUUUUCUGUUAGUAGGAGUGGCAAAGGUUCUUUGGAAUAGGACAUCAUAGAGGGUGAGAAUCCCGUAUUUGGUCAUUCUUUCUAGCUUUGUGAUACACUUUCAACGAGUCGGAUUGUUUGGGAAUGCAGUCCAAAAUGGGUGGUAAAUUUCAUCUAAAGCUAAAUAUUGGCGAGAGACCGAUAGCGAACAAGUACCGUGAGGGAAAGAUGAAAAGAACUUUGAAAAGAGAGUUAAACAGUACGUGAAAUUGUCAAAAGGGAAGCGUUUGACACCAGUGUUGUUUUUCCGAAAAUCAAUUACGAAUGUUUUGUUUUUAAGAAGUUAUGACUUCAUCGGCUUGCUUCUCUCUUUACGAAACUUUCUUAAUGCACUUUUCGGUUAACAAGUCAGCAUCAAUUUCUUUUGUUGUAAAAGAGUAUUAGGAAGGUGGCUUUCUUUUCGGAGAAAGUGUUUAUAGCCCUUAUACCUCUACAAUCGGAGAGAUUGAGGUCUGCAGCGUAGAUCCUUCGGGGUUAGAUACAUUUGUGCUAAGUUAUAGCUUUUCAUAGACAACUUGUUGACUAUGUUAAGUCUUGUAGCUUACUCGCUUAUGCUAUUUUACCUACGCUUAGGAUGUUGACGAGACUGUCGAUCUC